rnacentral:rRNA from 1 species
GACGAACGCUGGCGGCGCGCCUAACACAUGCAAGUCGAACGGAGCUGAGAGAAGCUUGCUUUUCUUAGCUUAGUGGCGAACGGGUGAGUAACGCGUGAGUAACCUGCCCUGGAGUGGGGGACAACAGGUGGAAACGACUGCUAAUACCGCAUAAGCCCACGAUCCGGCAUCGGAUUGAGGGAAAAGGAUUUAUUCGCUUCAGGAUGGACUCGCGUCCAAUUAGCUAGUUGGUGGGGUAACGGCCCAGCAAGGCGACGAUUGGUAGCCGGACUGAGAGGUUGACCGGCCACAUUGGGAAUGAGACACGGCCCAGACUCCUACGGGAGGCAGCAGUGGGGGAUAUUGCACAAUGGGGGAAACCCUGAUGCAGCGACGCCGCGUGGAGGAAGAAGGUUUUCGGAUUGUAAACUCCUGUCGUUAGGGACGAUAAUGACGGUACCUAACAAGAAAGCACCGGCUAACUACGUG